rnacentral:tRNA from 2 species
GCCCGCGUAGUCCAACAGCAGAGACAACCGUCUCAGAAGCGGUCGAGUGCAGGUGCAACUCCUGCCGUGGGCACCA